rnacentral:rRNA from 1 species
GACGAACGCUGGCGGCGUGCUUAACACAUGCAAGUCGAACGGUGAUGCUCCAGCUUGCUGGAGUGGAUCAGGGCGAACGGGUGAGUAACACGUGAGCAACCUGCCCCAGACUCUGGAAUAGGCGCUGGAAACGGCGUCUAAUACUGGAUACGAAACUGGCCCGCAUGGGCAUGGUUUGGAAAGUUUUUCGGUUUGGGAUGGGCUCGCGGCCUAUCAGCUUGUUGGUGAGGUAAUGGCUCACCAAGGCGACGACGGGUAGCCGGCCUGAGAGGGCGACCGGCCACACUGGGACUGAGACACGGCCCAGACUCCUACGGGAGGCAGCAGUGGGGAAUAUUGCACAAUGGGCGAAAGCCUGAUGCAGCGACGCCGCGUGAGGGAUGACGGCCUUCGGGUUGUAAACCUCUUUCAGCAGGGAAGAAGCGAAAGUGACGGUACCUGCAGAAGAAGCACCGGCUAACUACGUG